ACUCAACAUGGGAGGAUCCCUCUACAAGCCAGAAGAAACACUUCUGGAGUGUAUCCCUAAGAACUGAUAGUUCUUUAAAAUUGAAGGGUUAAAAAAGGAGAAACUUAAGUUCUACUGUAGCAGUGCCUGGCCUUUUUUGGUAGAAGAUAUGGGACUCCUGAGACAACAGACUUUAUUACUCAUGGCGCAAGAAGGAGGUUGAGCUUUAGCAUGAUCGCAAGGGUUUCCUUUGCCCCUAAACUCCACACAGGAGUCACAAUGAACACGGAUGGAUGGGGCACGUGCAAUGGGUUUGCUUUACAGCUGAGGAACACUGAACUUAGUAAAUCCUUUGCUUUUAUAGCAACAGUAAACAA